GACGAACGCUGGCGGCGUGCCUAAUACAUGCAAGUCGAGCGAAUGGAUUAAGAGCUUGCUCUUAUGAAGUUAGCGGCGGACGGGUGAGUAACACGUGGGUAACCUGCCCAUAAGACUGGGAUAACUCCGGGAAACCGGGGCUAAUACCGGAUAACAUUUUGAACCGCAUGGUUCGAAAUUGAAAGGCGGCUUCGGCUGUCACUUAUGGAUGGACCCGCGUCGCAUUAGCUAGUUGGUGAGGUAACGGCUCACCAAGGCAACGAUGCGUAGCCGAACUGAGAGGGUGAUCGGCCAGACUGGGACUGAGACACGGCCCAGACUCCUACGGGAGGCAGCAGUAGGGAAUCUUCCGCAAUGGACGAAAGUCUGACGGAGCAACGCCGCGUGAGUGAUGAAGGCUUUCGGGUCGUAAAACUCUGUUGUUAGGGAAGAACAAGUGCUAGUUGAAUAAGCUGGCACCUUGACGGUACCUAACCAGAAAGCCACGGCUAACUACGUGCCAGCAGCCGCCGUAA
rnacentral:rRNA from 1 species